rnacentral:rRNA from 1 species
ACGCUCGACACCUACGGAGGCAGCAGUGGGGAAUAUUGCACAAUGGGGGAAACCCUGAUGCAGCAACGCCGCGUGAAGGAAGACGGUUUUCGGAUUGUAAACUUCUGUUCUUAGUGAAGAAUAGUGACGGUAGCUAAGGAGCAAGCCACGGCUAACUACGUGCCAGCAGCCGCGGUAAUCUGAGCGGGCUGGCAAGGC